rnacentral:rRNA from 1 species
GGCAGCAGUAGGGAAUCUUCCGCAAUGGGCGCAAGCCUGACGGAGCAACGCCGCGUGAGUGAAGAAGGCCUUCGGGUUGUAAAACUCUGUCAUCAGGGAAGAAGAAAGUGACGGUACCUGAGGAGGAAGCCCCGGCUAACUACGUGCCAGCAGCCGCGGUAAAACGUAGGGGGCGAGCGUUGUCCGGAAUUACUGGGCGUAAAGGGCGCGUAGGCGGUUAUCCAAGUCAGGGGUGAAAACCUUGGGCUCAACUCAGGGCCUGCCUCUGAAACUGGGUAACUUGAGGGCAGGAGAGGGGAGUGGAAUUCCCAGUGUAGCGGUGAAAUGCGUAGAUAUUGGGAGGAACACCAGUGGCGGAGGCGGCUCUCUGGCCUAACCCUGACGCUGAGGCGCGAAAGCGUGGGGAUCAAACAGGAUUAGAUACCCUGGUAGUCCACGCCGUAAACGAUGAGUGCUAAGUGU